GGUGGGUUGGCUCAGUGGUUAGAGCGUAGGUCUCGUAACCGAAAGGUAGCGGGAUCGAAUCCUGCUAGAGGCUG
rnacentral:tRNA from 1 species